rnacentral:rRNA from 1 species
CACACCGCCCGUCACACCAUGGGAGUUUGUUGCACCAGAAGUAGCUAGCCUAACUGCAAAGAGGGCGGUUACCACGGUGUGGCCGAUGACUGGGGUG